CGAAUCUCACGGGCUCGCGCCGGCGAUGGUUCAUACAAAUAUCUUCCCUAUCAAAUUUCGAUGUGGGGGUAUAGGGCAAACAUGGUCGCAACGGGUAACGGAGGGUUAAGGCUCGACCCCGCAGAAAGAGCCUGAGAAACGGCUACUACAUCCAAGGAAGGCAGCAGGCGCGCAAAUUACCCAAUCCCGAUUCGGGGAGGUAGUGACAAUAAAUACUGAUACAGGGCUCUUUUGGGUCUUGUAAUUGGAAUGAGUACAAUUUAAAUCUCUUAACGAGGAACAAUUGGAGGGCAAGUCUGG
rnacentral:rRNA from 1 species